UGCAGAAUCCCGUGAACCAUCGAGUCUUUGAACGCAAGUUGCGCCCGAUGCCAUUAGGUUGAGGGCACGUCUGCCUGGGCGUCACAUAUCGAAGCCUCUCGCCAAUUUCCUAUAUUGAUAGGGGUAUUGUGCAGGGCGAAUGUUGGCCUCCCGUGAGCUCUAUUGCCUCAUGGUUGGUUGAAAAUCGAGACCUUGGUAGGGUGUGCCAUGAUAGGUGGUGGCUGUGUUACGCACGAGACCAAGUAAGUCAUGUGCUGCUCUAUUGAAUUUAGGCCUCUUUUACCCACAUGCGUUUCGAAACGCUCGUGAUGAGACCUCAGGUCAGGCGGGGCUACCCGCUGAAUUUAAGCAUAUCAAUAAGCGGAGGAAAAGAAACUAACAAGGAUUCCCUUAGUAACGGCGAGCGAACCGGGAUAAGCCCACCAUGA
rnacentral:rRNA from 1 species